rnacentral:misc_RNA from 1 species
AACAUCGCGCACCUGCGGGAACCUGCGGAGGGAUCAUUAACGUGUUCGUUCGGCCGUUCGGGUCGGCCCUGCACCGACGGAGACGUCGUGCUGCGGGCUCCCGGGCGUGCCUUCCAAACCAAACCCCUGUGAACCUUUGGGAGGGUAGAGCCUUCAUCGGCGAAGCCGUCCCCUUUACAAACUCUCGUAUCUCAUAGAAUGACCGCGGACAUCGUCUGCCUAAACACAUAACAACUUUCA